AUACGUAUGUCGCAAGCGUUAUCCGGAUUUAUUGGGCGUAAAGCGCGUCUAGGCGGCUUAGUAAGUCUGAUGUGAAAAUGCGGGGCUCAACCCCGUAUUGCGUUGGAAACUGCUAAACUAGAGUACUGGAGAGGUAGGCGGAACUACAAGUGUAGAGGUGGAAUUCGUAGAUAUUUGUAGGAAUGCCGAUGGGGAAGCCAGCCUACUGGACAGAUACUGACGCUAAAGCGCGAAAGCGUGGGUAGCAAACAGGAUUAGAUACCCUGGUAGUCCACGCCGUAAACGAUGAUUACUAGGUGUUGGGGGUCGAACCUCAGCGCCCAAGCUAACGCGAUAAGUAAUCCGCCUGGGGAGUACGUACGCAAGUAUGAAACUCAAAUGAAUUGGCGGGG
rnacentral:rRNA from 1 species